ACGUCCAUUUUCAAAAUUACUGCUGCGUUCUGUCACCCACAACGCUGGCUGUGCCAAAAGUGGACCACAGGAAAACCCAGUGACCUGUGUUCGAAGUUAAAUCCCUUCAAUGGAUCGCACUUCCUGUUAUGGUUGCACAUUU
rnacentral:snoRNA from 2 species